rnacentral:rRNA from 1 species
GACGAACGCUGGCGGCGUGCCUAAUACAUGCAAGUAGGACGCACAGUUUAUACCGUAGCUUGCUACACCAUAGACUGUGAGUUGCGAACGGGUGAGUAACGCGUAGGUAACCUGCCUAUUAGAGGGGGAUAACUAUUGGAAACGAUAGCUAAUACCGCAUAACAGUAUGUAACACAUGUUAGAUGCUUGAAAGAUGCAAUUGCAUCGCUAGUAGAUGGACCUGCGUUGUAUUAGCUAGUAGGUAGGGUAAUGGCCUACCUAGGCGACGAUACAUAGCCGACCUGAGAGGGUGAUCGGCCACACUGGGACUGAGACACGGCCCAGACUCCUACGGGAGGCAGCAGUAGGGAAUCUUCGGCAAUGGGGGGAACCCUGACCGAGCAACGCCGCGUGAGUGAAGAAGGUUUUCGGAUCGU